rnacentral:lncRNA from 1 species
AAAAUAUGUUCUAGUCUCCUUAAGAACAGUGCUGACAACUGGAUAUUACAGGAUGAAUGGGACCAUUUUUGUGAUCAAAUUUUUAAGUGAAGAUGCCAAAUUUCUCACAGCAAAGUAAAAUUCCUUAAUGACAUUUAGAUGUAUGUAUUUUGAAGGAAAAGAAGAAAAGCAGGUGAACACUAGGAAUGGCGGUCUUAGUUACAGGACAAAGUCUGUACAGAAUUUAUAACAGGUAUUUAAUACUUCUGAUAUUUAAUGCAGACUAAACUUGUUGCUCAUUAUAUCUUGUAUUGUUUGUCAAGUACUGACAGGUCUAAUAUUAAAACCUGAACUAUGGAUGACAAAACUGAUCUCAAGACAAAACUUGGAUAAAAAAAAUUGAGGCUGGAAAGGAUUCACUUCCCUUUUGCUUGCUUGAUAGGAUUUUUGUUUUGUGAAUGUUCUAUGUACUCAAAAAAGUAUCAUCCUGUCCAUUUAAAAGUUUUCAAUUUAUUAAAAAAAUAAA